GAUGAACGCUGGCGGCGUGCCUAAUACAUGCAAGUCGAGCGAACGGACGAGAAGCUUGCUUCUCUGAUGUUAGCGGCGGACGGGUGAGUAACACGUGGAUAACCUACCUAUAAGACUGGGAUAACUUCGGGAAACCGGAGCUAAUACCGGAUAAUAUUUUGAACCGCAUGGUUCAAAAGUGAAAGACGGUCUUGCUGUCACUUAUAGAUGGAUCCGCGCUGCAUUAGCUAGUUGGUAAGGUAACGGCUUACCAAGGCAACGAUGCAUAGCCGACCUGAGAGGGUGAUCGGCCACACUGGAACUGAGACACGGUCCAGACUCCUACGGGAGGUAGCAGUAGGGAAUCUUCCGCAAUGGGCGAAAGCCUGACGGAGCAACGCCGCGUGAGUGAUGAAGGUCUUCGGAUCGUAAAACUCUGUUAUUAGGGAAGAACAUAUGUGUAAGUAACUGUGCACAUCUUGACGGUACCUAAUCAGAAGGCCACGGCUAACUACGUG
rnacentral:rRNA from 1 species